rnacentral:rRNA from 1 species
CAGUAGCCACGGUAAUACGAAGGGUGCAAGCGUUACUCGGAAUUACUGGGCGUAAAGCGUGCGUAGGUGGUUGUUUAAGUCUGCUGUGAAAGCCCUGGGCUCAACCUGGGAAUUGCAGUGGAUACUGGGCGACUAGAGUAAGGUAGAGGAUAGUGGAAUUUCCGGUGUAGCAGUGAAAUGCGUAGAGAUCGGAAGGAACAUCUGUGGUGAAGGCGACUAUCUGGGCCAUUACUGACACUGAGGCACGAAAGCGUGGGGAGCAAACAGGAUUAGAUACCCGCGUAGUCCCUGUCUCUUAUAC